rnacentral:lncRNA from 1 species
GGCGCAGGAUGGUGCUGAGUGUGCCGGUGGGGUGCACCAGUGACACCAGUAUGGCACUGGGAAGUGCUGUCGCCCAGUAUGGCGCUGUCCUCUGCACCAGUUAAUACCCAGUAUGGUACUGGGCAGCACUGUCGCCCAGUAUGGCACUGUCACCCGCACCAGUAACACCAGUAUGGCACUGUCACCUACCCAGGGUGGCACUGGGUGCUCCUGUCACCCAGUAUGGCACUGUCACCCAUACUGGGAACACCCAGUAUGGCACUGGGCACCCCCAUCACCCAGUAUGGCACUGCCCCCCACACCAGUGACUCCCAGUAUGGCAUUGCCCCCCCCCCCCACUGGUGUCACCCACUGGGGUUCUGGACCCCUGAGCCCCCUCCUCCUGCUACCGGGGGGGUGCCAGCACCCUGAGGGUCCCCGGGGGGGUGGGGGGGACAUCACACAACCACCAUGGGGCUGGGGACCCCCUGGGGACCCCGCAGUGCCUGGAGGGGGGGGGGGCACUUGGGGUGGGGCGCACCCGUGCCCCCCCCCGGUGCCACCGAAUCCACCAGCCCCCCACUCGCCGUGCCCCACAGCCCCCCCAAAAGUGCCCCCCAAAGCUGUGCCACGGCACCGGGGUACCGGGGGCUUUUUGUGGGGGUGCCGGGGGCUGUUAUGGGGGUGCCGGGGGCAGCCCCACAACACGGGGGGGGCCACUUUGAACCCAGCCGAGGCCGCCACGUGCCGCCGUGCCCAGGUGCCAGGUGCCACACGUGGCACCGUGACCCCCCCCUCGCCACUUAUCCCCCCCCAUGCACCCCAAAGCAGGGCAGCCCCCAACACCCCCUCCACGCACCCUCCCUGGGGGACAAAGGGGACAAGCUGGCGGUGCUGGGGGGGGGAUGUUUCGAGGGGGGGGGCCCGGUGGCCGCGUGCCCCCGUGGCCGGGUUGCCGGCGGUGCCGUGCGGCGGUGCCACGUGCCGGCGGCUGCGCGCACGAGGAUUUAUUUUUACGCCGGGGCCGCCCGGGUUGUUUACCUCGCUGCACCUUUUCCAGGAAAAAGCUCUGGACACGCCGGGGGGGGGCACACACACACACACCGAGGGGGGGGGCACCUUCUCCUUCUCCCUUUGCGCCCCCCUUUUUGCUCCCGGCUGGGUGCUGGGGGCGCAGCAGGGUGAGGACCCCCCCUCCUCUGGGUGGGUGCUGGGGGCGCAAAGGGUUUGGACCCCCCCCAAAGUGCUGCAGCCCCAGCUGCCCCCCCCCCAGCCCCCCCAGACCCGCUGUGGGGUCUCUAUGGGGUUUUGGGGUCCCUAUGGGGUCGCGGACACG